rnacentral:rRNA from 1 species
UAGCUCAGUAACACGUGGCCAAACUACCCUACAGACAAGAACAACCUCGGGAAACUGAGGCUAACACUUGAUACGCGUUGACUGUUUGAAGACAUCGACGUUCAAACGCUCCGGCGCUGUAGGAUGUGGCUGCGGCCGAUUAGGUAGACGGUGGGGUAACGGCCCACCGUGCCGAUAAUCGGUACGGGUUGUGAGAGCAAGAGCCCGGAGACGGAAUCUGAGACAAGAUUCCGGGCCCUACGGGGCGCAGCAGGCGCGAAACCUUUACACUGCACGCCAGUGCGAUAAGGGAACCCCGAGUGAAAGGGCAUAUCGCCCUUUCUUUUCUGAACCGUAGGGAGGUUCAGGAACAAGAGCUGGGCAAGACCGGUGCCAGCCGCCGCGGUAAUACCGGCAGCUCGAGUGAUGACCGAUUUUAUUGGGCCUAAAGCGUCCGUAGCUGGCCGCGCAAGUCUGUCGGGAAAUCCACCCGCUUAACGGGUGGGCGUCCGGCGGAAACUGUGCGGCUUGGGACAGGAAGGCUCGAGGGGUACGUUCGGGGUAGGAGUGAAAUCCCGUAAUCCUGAACGGACCACCGAUGGCGAAAGCACCUCGAGAGGACUGAUCCGACAGUGAGGGACGAAAGCUGGGGUCUCGAACCGGAUUAGAUACCCGGG